GGGUGCUUGCACCCUUGAGACCGGCGCACGGGUGCGUAACGCGUAUGCAACCUACCUAUUGCAGGGGAAUAGCCCAGGGAAACUUGGAUUAAUGCCCCAUAGUCCAUAUUGAGAGCAUUCGAGAUAUGGUAAAGAUUUAUCGGCAAUAGAUGGGCAUGCGUCCCAUUAGCUAGUUGGUAUGGUAACGGCAUACCAAGGCUACGAUGGGUAGGGGCCCUGAGAGGGGGAUCCCCCACACUGGUACUGAGACACGGACCAGACUCCUACGGGAGGCAGCAGUGAGGAAUAUUGGACAAUGGGCGGGAGCCUGAUCCAGCCAUGCCGCGUGCAGGAAGACUGCCCUAUGGGUUGUAAACUGCUUUUUUACGGGAAGAAACACCCCCACGUGUGGGGGCUUGACGGUACCGUACGAAUAAGGACCGGCUAACUCCGUGCCAGCAGCCGCGGUAAUACGGAGGGUCCGAGCGUUAUCCGGAAUCAUUGGGUUUAAAGGGUCCGUAGGCGGGCGUCUAAGUCAGUGGUGAAAUCUCGCGGCUCAACCGUGAAAUUGCCAUUGAUACUGGUCGCCUUGAAUUAGUGUGAAGUGGCUAGAAUAUGUAGUGUAGCGGUGAAAUGCUUAGAUAUUACAUAGAAUACCGAUUGCGAAGGCAGGUCACUAACACUAUAUUGACGCUGAUGGACGAAAGCGUGGGGAGCGAACAGGAUUAGAUACCCUGGUAGUCCACGCCGUAAACGAUGGAUACUAGCUGUCCGGCCUGCAUUGGUGGGCUGGGUGGCCAAGCGAAAGUGAUAAGUAUCCCACCUGGGGAGUACGUUCGCAAGAAUGAAACUCAAAGGAAUUGACGGGGGCCCGCACAAGCGGUGGAGCAUGUGGUUUAAUUCGAUGAUACGCGAGGAACCUUACCAGGGCUUAAAUGUAGUCUGACAGGGGUGGAAACACCCCCUUCUUCGGACAGACUGCAAGGUGCUGCAUGGUUGUCGUCAGCUCGUGCCGUGAGGUGUCAGGUUAAGUCCUAUAACGAGCGCAACCCCUGUCGUUAGUUGCCAGCAUGUAAAGAUGGGAACUCUAACGAGACUGCCGGUGCAAACCGUGAGGAAGGUGGGGAUGACGUCAAAUCAUCACGGCCCUUACGUCCUGGGCCACACACGUGCUACAAUGGCAGGUACAAUGGGCAGCCACGCCGCAAGGCGGAGCGAAUCCACAAAACCUGUCUCAGUUCGGAUCGGGGUCUGCAACUCGACCCCGUGAAGCUGGAAUCGCUAGUAAUCGGAUAUCAGCCAUGAUCCGGUGAAUACGUUCCCGGGCCUUGUACACACCGCCCGUCAAGCCAUGGAAGCUGGAAGCACCUGAAGUCCGUCACCGCGAGGAGCGGCCUAGGGUGAAGCUGGUAACUGGGGCUAAGUCGUAACAAGGUAGCCGUACCGGAAGGUGCGGCUGGAUCACCUC
rnacentral:rRNA from 1 species